UGCUUACACAUGCCCAAGUCGUAACGAUGAAGCUGGAGCUUGCUCUGGUGGAUUAGUGGCGAACGGGUGAGUAACACGUGAGUAACCUGCCCUUGACUCUGGAAUAAGCGUUGGAAACGACGUCUAAUACCGGAUACGAGCUUCCGCCGCAUGGUGAGGAGCUGGAAAGAAUUUCGGUCAAGGAUGGACUCGCGGCCUAUCAGGUAGUUGGUGAGGUAAUGGCUCACCAAGCCUACGACGGGUAGCCGGCCUGAGAGGGUGACCGGCCACACUGGAACUGAGACACGGUCCAGACUCCUACGGGAGGCAGCAGUGGGGAAUAUUGCACAAUGGGCGCAAGCCUGAUGCAGCAACGCCGCGUGAGGGACGACGGCCUUCGGGUUGUAAACCUCUUUUAGUAGGGAAGAAGCGAAAGUGACGGUACCUGCAGAAAAAGCACCGGCUAACUACGUGCCAGCAGCCGCGGUAAUACGUAGGUGCAAGCGUUAUCCGGAAUUAUUGGGCGUAAAGAGCUCGUCAGGCGGUUUGUCGCGUCUGCUGUGCACACACUGGGGGCUCAAACCCCAGGCGUGCGUGGGGUACCGGGCAGACUAGAGUGCGGUAGGGGCAGAUUUGGAAUUUCCUGGGUGUACGGUGGAUGCGCAGAUUCA
rnacentral:rRNA from 1 species